rnacentral:rRNA from 1 species
CUAUACAUGACUCUGCGCAUAUCAAUAAGCGGAGGAAAAGAAACUAACAAGGAUUCCCCUAGUAACGGCGAGUGAAGCGGGAAGAGCUCAAAUUUGAAAUCUUAAAGGGUUUCCCUUUACGAAUUGUAGUUUAAAGAAGUGUUUUCUGUUGGAGUUUUGGUAAAGUUCUUUGGAAUAGGACAUCAUAGAGGGUGAGAAUCCCGUAUUUGACCAUUUCUUCCAGCUGUUGUGAUACACUUUCAACGAGUCGGAUUGUUUGGGAAUGCAGUCCAAAAUGGGUGGUAAAUUUCAUCUGAAGCUAAAUAUUGGCGAGAGACCGAUAGCGAACAAGUACCGUGAGGGAAAGAUGAAAAGAACUUUGAAAAGAGAGUUAAACAGUACGUGAAAUUGUCAAAAGGGAAGCGUUUGACACCAGUGUUGUUUUUCCGAAAAUCAAUUAAACGAGAGGAUUUUGUUUUGAGGAGUUAUGACUUCAUCAGCUUACUGCACUUUCUUUAUGUACUUUCUUAAUGCACUUUUCGUUAACAAGUCAACAUCAAUUUCUUUUGUUGUAAAAGGGUAUGAGGAAGGUGGCUUUCAUUUCGGAGAAAGUGUUUAUAGCCUUGUGACCUCUGCAAUCGGAGAGAUUGAGGUCUGCAGCGUAGAUCCUUCGGGGUUAGAUACAUUUGUGCUAAGUUAUAGCUUUUCAUAGACAGCUUGUUGACUAUGAUUUAAUCAUUGUAGCUUACUCGCUUAUGCUAUUUUACCUACGCUUAGGAUGUUGACACACGCGCGUGCUCG